CAAGCUUUUCUUUCAAAAAUGGAUACCCAGCCACCCCCAAAUAAAUUCAUCAUUUCUAUACUAACACUUAAUAUAAGCAACCUUGCCUUUUUAUUUCUCCAAAGGACUAGGAAUCAUUUUAUUUGAUUGUGGAAGCAGAGAAUGACAAGGGAUGGACCUCUUGAGAUGACAGCCUGACAGCCUUUAAAUCAAGGAGGAUCUCUUUUUUAGCAAGCAUGAAGAUUAAACAGACUAAUGAAUCAGUGUUUUAGACCAUCCAGUCCUGGGAGAUCACAUCAGAGUCCCAUCAGCCACGGUCAGGUCAAGGAACAUUCUUUCCUGUCAACUGGCAAGCCUCCUAUUGUUGUGUUGAAAGUCUUGCUCCUCUCUGGGAAAUUACUCUACUUAAUGGAGACAGAUGUCACUGCACAUAAUUUUAUAGUUCUAAGGAUCUAAAAGGUAAGCUCUCCUUAACCAGUGUAGUUGGGGGCAAAAAAAAUGUGGUUGUGUCUAUUUUAUAUUCUGGAAUUAGUUUCUUUCCACCAUAUGUCAAUUUCAUUUUUAAUAGAGAAAUUUUUAUUCUACUUGUCUAAAUGUUCUCAUAAAAAGGAAAUAUCCAAUGUGCCAUUGCCUUCAGAGUUUCCUAGAAAUUCCUUGAUCUGUCACCAUUCAGUGGACAUGAAUGUAAAUUUUAAGAGACUUAAAGCUUUCAAGAGGGCUCUGAGUCAAGCUCCUUCUCACCUCUCAGUUAUAUCUCUGGAUUAAUCAAAAUUCGUGAUGCAGUUCUUUUGAAGUUGUUAAUUUUAUUUGAGACAGUCAUAUAUGCUCAGUACAUAGGGAAGCAUAAGUGCAGUUUUUUUCUUUCCUUCUCCUAGCCAGUAUUAUUCUAGAAAACAAAAUUACGUAAAAAUUGCACUGAAGUUGCAAAGCAGAUAUUAGAUUUUUGUUCUAAAAUGAAUCUCGAUGAUGCUUAUCUUAAUGAAUAAGAGAUAGG
rnacentral:lncRNA from 1 species